UUGAAGAAUGUAAAUUCCAGACUAUAAAAUAAUUAUACAAAUGCAUACUUCUAAAUCCAAAUGAGAGAACAUAUGGCACAGAUUCCUAAAUUUUUUAAUUUCAUAAUUAUUUUUCUUUUCAUAUUUUUGGUUGUAACGGAUGGUAUCGUCGUAACAAUUUUCAAAUGCCAUUCUAAUAAAGAAUGUCGUAUAAAAAUGACUACUUGCAUUCGUCCCAGAAAGCCAAAGUGUAUAGCAGGGAUAUGUAAAUGUUUUUAAUAUUGAGAAUAAGGUAAAAAAUAAUUUCAUGUAUUUGCAACUAUAACGUUGGUUCUUUUGUAAUUUUCUCAAACUUCAACCUAAUCUCUAGGAACCUUUUAAUAAUUUGAUCCAUUCAAAUACUUAUUACUGUAUUAUGUCAGUGUUGUUGCAUUAGUUCUCUUUUUGUUUGUUAUGAUAAAUUGAAUUUGAUGAAAUAAAUAUUUGGUUAUUUGGUAAAGAAUAGCGAAUGAUAAAAUAAAAUUACUAUAUAAUUUUUUAUUCUA